CCCCAAUAUGUGAGAGCUGAGAGCCCCCUCACACAAUGUGUGCAAACGGAAAUCACUUUUUCCAUAUAUCUGCUCUUUGUACCCUGGGGCGCCCUUCCCUCUUGCACAAAGAACUUUUUCUGGGCAUUUAACUGUUAAGCGAAGGCUUUUUUCCCCGUUUGCAAAGCCCCGGACACUCCGGGGACUGCCCUUUCCCAGGUCUCUAAAGGAGUUGGAUUGCUGGUGCUCUUCCCACCUUCCUAAAUUCUGCCAGAGACGCGCUCUUUGAAUAUCUUGAUUGCAAACAUUCACUAACAAGGCAAAACCUCACUCGUGGGUUUUACGUAUUUCAACGCAUUUCAACUCGUACCUCUCAGAAGGCCAGUGGGCAAAAGACCUUAUUUUGCCUUCACCACUGAAUUUUAAAACUCCUGGGGGACAAGGUCAAGGUCCUCCACAGAACCUGGGGCAACACAUGGGUCAGCCAUACGGUAUAAUCAAGUUUGCCCAAGAAAUUCUGAAGAAAGGCACACAAUGAAGGAGAAGAGAGUCAAAAUACUUCCCUGCUCAGACUGUGACCUCCUGGAGAACAGGGACCAUAUCUGACUCAUCUGUGUUCAAAUGCAAAAGAAGGGAAGAGGGACCACUGGCUGGCUCUCCAGCUCCGUGGUGUCUCUCCUCCACCCUCCACACACUCCUUUCACCUUCUAUGUUCCCAUCUUUGUGACUCAAGCACUGAGAAGACGGUGGGCGAGCGAGUGGAGAUAAGAAUGUCAGAGCUCAUCAUGUGCUUGUUCAUCUGUAACAAUAUCAUACAGAACAGACCUUGAGGAGCUCUAUAAGAGGUACACAGAGACACUGUUGUUCAGAAGAGAGAGCAAUCCUUUCCAGCUGAGAGGUGCCUAGAGGAAAGCUUCGAAGAGGAAGGACCGUUUGAGGUGAGCGUUGGAGAAUAGAGGAUUCUAGCAGGUAUGGUUACGUAAAAGGUUAGGGGAAAGGCAUGGCGUUAGCACUGUGGUGGAAGUAAGAAUAAAUACCACAUGAUCUGGAGCUUAUGUGGGCCA
rnacentral:lncRNA from 1 species